GACGAACGCUGGCGGCGUGCCUAAUACAUGCAAGUAGAACGCUGAAGGAGGAGCUUGCUUCUCUGGAUGAGUUGCGAACGGGUGAGUAACGCGUAGGUAACCUGCCUGGUAGCGGGGGAUAACUAUUGGAAACGAUAGCUAAUACCGCAUAAGAGUAGAUGUUGCAUGACAUUUGCUUAAAAGGUGCAAUUGCAUCACUACCAGAUGGACCUGCGUUGUAUUAGCUAGUUGGUGAGGUAACGGCUCACCAAGGCGACGAUACAUAGCCGACCUGAGAGGGUGAUCGGCCACACUGGGACUGAGACACGGCCCAGACUCCUACGGGAGGCAGCAGUAGGGAAUCUUCGGCAAUGGACGGAAGUCUGACCGAGCUACGCCGCGUGAGGGAAGAAGGUUUUCGGAUCGUAAAGCUCUGUUGUAAGAGAAGAACGAGUGUGAGAGUGGAAAGUUCACACUGUGACGGUAUCUUACCAGAAAGGGACGGCUAACUACGUG
rnacentral:rRNA from 1 species